AAAUCGAUUACUAUAAAUAGGAAGAGUAAUAAAAAAAAGGAAAGCUUUUGACUACAAGUUUGAGACAAAUUCGUCUUAUAUCAUACCUCAGACAAACUUUUAAAUUUCGAAUAUGCAUUAUGAACGCGUCGAAGCCUAGCGAUUCGCUUUGCUAAAUCUGUAUCGUUUGUCAUUGCCGAUUGAUCCUAAAAGAUAUAAGUUAGAUCAUUUAUAUCAGAUUUUAAUUUUUCAUGAGUAAAGCUUAAUGUCCGGUAUGCUUGUAUUACCAUUAUUAUUGUAUCUCGAACAGUAGCAGGCUGAUUUCACACUUUGUUUGCCGACACUUACUUUAUUAUUUACUUGAUGGAAUUGAAGAUACUCUGAAGAAAGCGAUCGGGCUUUUUCAAUAAGUACUCUUGAAACGUUAUGCUCAGAGUAUCCUUUUUUGCAAGCAAUGCUACGAAUUUGAUAUUCAAUUCCAUGUCUAAAGUACCAUAAAACUUUUUUAGUUAGAAGCAUCACCUUGUAUUUUGAGUUUCUUUUAUUUCUGCAUACUCAAAGAAUUAGCAGUAAAACUAAUUAGUGUUAACCUGUUAAAACCGCCUUUCUGACCUUGGUGUGCUUCUUCGAUAAGUACUUUUAUGAUAUU